rnacentral:rRNA from 1 species
CAGGGAGGGAAUAUUGGUCAAUAGCUUAAGCGGCUGAACCAGCAACUUGGAGGAAUGUACAGGGAAAACUGGUAAAAUGUGAUGUACCUGAUAGUAUUAGUGAUUAAUAUGAAAUUAACUAAGUUUAAUUAAAAUUCAAAGUAGAUAUGUGAUUAUGACAAUAUUUGCUUAUUUCUUGACCAAGUCACGUGCCAGCAGUCGCGGUAAUACGUGGAAGAUAAGUGUUAUUCAUCUUUAAUAGGUUUAAAGGGUACCUAGACGGUUAAUUAAGCAUAAAAGUGUACUGAUUGUUAACUAGAGUUUAAUGUAAGAAGGAUUGAGUACGGUGAGUGAAGAGAUAAAAUUCUGUCAUACCACUUAGGAACUGGUAAAGGCGAAGGCAACCUUUUAUGUAAAAACUGACGUUGAGGGACGAAGGCUCGUAUUAAGUAAUAGGAUUAGAGACCCUAGUAUUGUGGGCAGACAAUGAUGAGUGUCAUAUGCAAGAAAAAUUUUUGUGUAUAAAUGAAAGUGUAAGCAUUCCACCUCAAGAGUAACGUGGCAACAUGGGAACUGAAAUCAUUAGACCGUUUCUGAAACUCGUAGUGAAGUAUGUUGUUUAAUUUGAUAAUCCUCAAAUAACCUUACCACAAUUUGUAUUACUAGUAUUUGUAUUAGUAACAAGCGUUGCACGGCUGUCUUCAGUCAAUGUUGUGAAACUUUGGUUAGAUCCAUUAAAUUGACGUAAACCCUUGCUUUAUUUGUUAUAAAGCAGUUCGCCGCUAUAUUGGUAAUGAUAUAAGGACCAAGACAAGCAUCGCCAUG